rnacentral:snRNA from 1 species
AUUGCUUCUCAGCCUUUUAGCCAAGAUCAAGUGUAGUCAUCUGCUCUUACUAGUUUAAAAUAAAUCUUUAGUUCAUGAGGGAAAAUGUAUCAAUUUUAUAGUUUAAAGGAUAACUUUC